rnacentral:rRNA from 1 species
CAUUGUCGGAAUCGAACCGAGGAACGACCCGCGAAUCGUCACCGCCUAUCGGAGAGGGCUCGCGAGCGCCCAGGCCUCGCGCGGCUCGAGCCGUGCCGGCGCGGGUCCCCGAUCGGGUCCCGCGUCGUGCCGGCGAACGAACAACGUCAGCACGGAUCGUGCCAAGGAUCUUAACGGAGGGAAUCGUCGUCCCGCCCCCCUCCCCGUCCGUCCCGGACGCGGGACGGGGGACGCGCGCGAUCUUUGCUCGAGUUUGAAUGACUCUCGGCAACGGAUAUCUCGGCUCCUGCAUCGAUGAAGAACGUAGCGAAAUGCGAUACCUGGUGUGAAUUGCAGAAUCCCGCGAACCAUCAAUUCUUUGAACGCAAGUUGCGCCCGAAGCCAUUUUGGCCGAGGGCACGCCUGCCUGGGCGUCGUGAAUCCCCUCGCCCCCCGGCACCCGCGAGCUCGCUGGCGGGGACGUGCUCGGGCGCGGAAUGUGGUCUCCCGCGGGACCGGCGCGCGCGGCGCGUCGAGGCGCGGUUGGCCGAAAAUCGAGCACGGCCGCGACGGGCCACCCGGCGUUCGGUGGAUCGAACGAGAUUGGCUGCGCCGUGGGCUCGGAAUGCGGCGGGCUCCGGACUUUGACGAUCCCACAGCGCGA